AGAGAGGGAGAUGUCAAUCUUACAAAGCCCAAAUUUCUCAGCGCUAUAAAGCCCAUUAAUUUCUUUAAGAUAGAAGGCUUUUCAAAGAUAAACAAUUUCUUUGCCAUACGUUGCAGUUUGGUUGUCUAACGAUAACUCUCGCCUCUCGGUUAAGUCCACUUAUUUGCCAUGUUGCAUUUUUGGGGAAUUAAGUGUGAUA